rnacentral:rRNA from 1 species
CCUACGGGAGGCAGCAGUGGGGGAUAUUGCACAAUGGGGGAAACCCUGAUGCAGCGACGCCGCGUGGGCGAAGAAGUAUUUCGGUAUGUAAAGCCCUAUCAGCAGGGAAGAAGAAAUGACGGUACCUGAGUAAGAAGCACCGGCUAAAUACGUGCCAGCAGCCGCGGUAAUACGUAUGGUGCAAGCGUUAUCCGGAUUUACUGGGUGUAAAGGGAGCGCAGGCGGCACGGCAAGCCUGAUGUGAAAGCCCGCGGCCCAACCGCGGGACUGCAUUGGGAACUACCGGGCUGGAGUGCCGGAGAGGUAGGCGGAAGUCCUAGUGUAGCGGUGAAAUGCGUAGAUAUUAGGAGGAACACCAGUGGCGAAGGCGGCUUACUGGACUGUAACUGACGUUGAGGCUCGAAAGCGUGGGGAGCAAACAGGAUUAGAUACCCUGGUAGUC